GACGAACGCUGGCGGCGUGCUUAACACAUGCAAGUCGAACGGAAAGGCCCUGCUUUUGUGGGGUGCUCGAGUGGCGAACGGGUGAGUAACACGUGAGUAACCUGCCCUUGACUUUGGGAUAACUUCAGGAAACUGGGGCUAAUACCGGAUAGGAGCUCCUGCUGCAUGGUGGGGGUUGGAAAGUUUCGGCGGUUGGGGAUGGACUCGCGGCUUAUCAGCUUGUUGGUGGGGUAGUGGCUUACCAAGGCUUUGACGGGUAGGCGGCCUGAGAGGGUGGCCGGCCACCUUGGGCCUGCGAUACGGCCCAGACUCCUACGGGAGGCAGCAGUGGGGAGUAUUGCACAAUGGGCGGAAGCCUGAUGCAGCAACGCCGCGUGCGGGAUGACGGCCUUCGGGUUGUAAACCGCUUUCGCCUGUGCCGAAGCGUGAGUGACGGUAAUGGGUAAAGAAGCACCGGCUAACUACGUG
rnacentral:rRNA from 1 species